UUGUGAUUUCCCCCCUGCACCGUUGGCUCGAGGUGUUGGUUUUUGGGGUUUUUUUUGUUUUUUGGUUUUUUUUAUUUUCUUAACGUGGAGAUUCCUCAGUGGCCACCCCAUCAUGAGACUUGAGAAAAGAAGUAGGCAGAUCAGAGAACCAAAUUUAAAGUCUCAUCAUCACACUCGGUUUCCCUGGACCCACUUCCGGAACCAAUGAUGGUAUCCACCGAGGAUUUGGUCCAAUCGGGGACAAGCAUACGUGCUGACGUAUUUCCUGCCCACAUGUGAUCGAACGCAUCCAGUGCAGAUGGGGUCAGCGAACAUAGGACAACAGGAACUUACUCUUAACUGCACUCAAACUCUU